rnacentral:rRNA from 1 species
UACAGAGGUCCCGAGCGUUGUUCGGAUUUAUUGGGCGUAAAGGGUGCGUAGGCGGCGGAGUAAGUUGGGUGUGAAAUCCCGGGGCUCAACCUCGGAAUGGCAUUCAAUACUGCUUCGCUAGAGUACUGGAGAGGAGGCUGGAAUUUACGGCGUAGCAGUGAAAUGCGUAGAUAUCGUAAGGAAGGCCGGUGGCGAAAGCGAGCCUCUGGACAGUUACUGACGCUGAUGCACGAAGGCCAGGGGAGCAAACGGG